CGUCACCUGACUACAAAAAGAGAAUGAGACAGACAGAGCUCUGAGAAAAAAUCCUGCUGCUUGUCACAAGAGGAGCUGCUGGUCCAAAAAGACAACUUGAAGAGGACUAUACACUAUUAGUCUACCUGUGAACAGAAAAAGGUUUGCACGUUGUUAUGGACUUUUGAAGCUGGAACACUGGCCAAUUUUACAAGGCUCCCAUCUGAAGUUUUUUCACUUUUGAUAAAGAGGUGUUGAAGAAUGCUCCCAGAUAAUGCUGCCGAGUUGAAGUCUGGACUAAUUACACACUAGAUGUUGUCAGAAGAAUGAACUAAAGAUAAAGCAACAGUUUCCUGUUGCGGGAUAUCUUCGAGAUGAAAAAGAGCCCUUGUAAUGUGUACAGCACACUGUAAGCUGUUGACUGACUUCAUAGUACGCCGGUAAGAUUAUUCACAGUGGACAGUGGUGUGUUCUUCUUUUAAUCUUCUAACUCUUCUUCAGAUGUUGCAAAACUCAAGAUUUCUUUAUUGGCAUGCCGAGUUGGAGUCUGGAUGUGUUAGAUUGAAGUUUUUAGACGAAUGAUAAAGAGAAUGCAACAAUUGCCUGCUGGCGAGCUAUCUCGGAGAUGAAGAACGGCCCUUCAAGCUGUUCACUGACUUCAUAGUACGCCGAGUCUAUCUUUGUGCACAAAAACAAGACGAAUAUAAAUACAUGCCACCGUGGGGAUGUGAAGACACGGACAUGAUAAUGAGAGGCAUAAUGUAGCUAAACAGAAAUUAAUAUAUAUAUAUAUCUUGUUCUUGUCUUCUUUGUCUUUGAAUUGUGACCUUUUGAAGCAUGAUA